UUGAUCCUGGCUCAGGACGAACGCUGGCGGCGUGCCUAAUACAUGCAAGUCGAGCGGGGUUAUUUAGAAGCUUGCUUCUAAAUAACCUAGCGGCGGACGGGUGAGUAACACGUAGGCAACCUGCCCAUAAGACAGGGAUAACUACCGGAAACGGUAGCUAAUACCCGAUACAUCCUUUUCCUGCAUGGGAGAAGGAGGAAAGGCGGAGCAAUCUGUCACUUGUGGAUGGGCCUGCGGCGCAUUAGCUAGUUGGUG
rnacentral:rRNA from 1 species